rfam:Gossypium hirsutum cultivar TM-1 unplaced genomic scaffold scaffold26.1, whole genome shotgun sequence
UGUUAAAAAUUUUGUCUAUUUGUACUGUUAAAAAUUAAUGUGAUUGAUGGAAUAAUUAGACAAUGAUACGUGGCAUAUCACUUGUAUCUUAUGUUGACCUAUAAGAAUUGAUUUUUAACAAUAAAAAUGAGUAAAACUUCUAAUA